rnacentral:rRNA from 1 species
AGAGUUUGAUCCUGGCUCAGAACGAACGCUGGCGGCAGGCUUAACACAUGCAAGUCGAACGCCCCGCAAGGGGAGUGGCAGACGGGUGAGUAACGCGUGGGAACGUGCCCUUCGCUUCGGAAUAGUCCCGGGAAACUGGGUUUAAUACCGAAUACGCCGUAUUGGGAAAGAUUUAUCGGCGAAGGAUCGGCCCGCGUUAGAUUAGGUAGUUGGCGGUGUAAUGGACCACCAAGCCUACGAUCUAUAGCUGGUCUGAGAGGAUGAUCAGCCACUCUGGGACUGAGACACGGCCCAGACUCCUACGGGAGGCAGCAGUGGGGAAUCUUGGACAAUGGGCGCAAGCCUGAUCCAGCCAUGCCGCGUGAGUGAAGAAGGCCUUAGGGUUGUAAAACUCUUUCGCCGGAGAAGAUAAUGACGGUAUCCGGAGAAGAAGCCCCGGCUAACUUCGUGCCAGCAGCCGCGGUAAUACGAAGGGGGCUAGCGUUGUUCGGAAUUACUGGGCGUAAAGCGCACGUAGGCGGGUUUGUAAGUAGGGGGUGAAAUCCCAGAGCUCAACUCUGGAACUGCCUUCUAGACUGCAAGCCUGGAGGUCAGGAGAGGCGAGUGGAAUACCGAGUGUAGAGGUGAAAUUCGUAGAUAUUCGGUGGAACACCAGUGGCGAAGGCGACUCGCUGGACUGAUACUGACGCUGAGGUGCGAAGCGUGGG